UUCCUGACCAAAACCCUGAUAAUAUACAACAAUUCAAAAAAAGCAAGCUUUUUGGAAUUGUUGUAUAUUGUCAGGGGUUUGGUCGGGAA